rnacentral:rRNA from 1 species
CCCUUAAAUGUUCUGGGCUGCACGCGUAUUACAAUGUUAAUUUUCGACAAGUUUUUUGAUUUUUUUUAAUUUUUUUUUUAGAAAAAAUUAUAUCCUUUUCUAUUUGCUUUUUUAUUUUAAAAAGUUUUAAAAGAAUGGGAAAUCUUUUGAAUAGUUAACGUAUCAGGGAUAGAAGUUUGAAACUUCUUCUUUAACUAGGAAUUCCUAGUAGAUUCAAAUCAUUAAUUUGAAUCGAUUACGUCCCUGCUCUUUGUACACACCGCCCGUCGCUCCUACCGGUGGAAUGAAAAGGUGAAUUUUUUGGACUUUUUUUUUUCUUUUGAAAAUUUUUUAGGAAAAAAUUUAAACCUUUUUGUUUGUAGGAAGGAAAAGUCGUAACA